rnacentral:rRNA from 1 species
UACGGAGGAUGCGAGCGUUAUCCGGAUUUAUUGGGUUUAAAGGGUGCGUAGGCGGGAUGCCAAGUCAGCGGUAAAAAUGCGGUGCUCAACGCCGUCGAGCCGUUGAAACCGGAGCGCUAGAAUUCCGAUGCCGUCGGAGGAAUGUGUGGUGUAGCGGUGAAAUGCAUAGAUAUCACACAGAACACCGAUUGCGAAGGCAUCUGACGAAUCGGAGAUUGACGCUGAUGCACGAAAGCGUGGGUAUCGAACAGG